CCUGAGUCCUGGGAUGCGCCUGAGGACUGGGAUCAGUCUUCCAUGCGGAUCCUUCCUCAUGAGGUUUGUGUGCCUCCUCUGGUCCUGAGGGAGUGCUUUGUCGUGCUAAACCCUAUCCGGUUUAGCACUGACAAGUUGGCUGCAAUGGAUCGCAUUGUUCCAUCCAACCUUGACGUCCCCAUGGGGAAUCGCUCAAAGAAACGGAAGGUGGCACAUGGAACCACGGCUGUGGUCUCCAAAGGAAAGAAGGCCCGCCUUGAGGCACUUCAAACUCCAGCAAGGAUUGCCAAACCUUCGAAGCUGGUACCUCCCCCUCGACCUGUUCCAGAAGCUGCUGUGCCAGCCACUCUGGAGGGCAGCGUCUUUGUGCAUUCGAGCAAGUUUGCUCAACCGAAGGGGGAUGACAAGACUCUGUGUGUUGAUGAGUGGCCGUUUCUUCAAACAGAGUUUUGUGAGAAGGUGAACCAGCCAACUGCUCGGGUUGUCUCUGGACAGAGAAAACAAGAGGAGCCAACACCUUGGGGGCCAAAAGUUGUGAUGGCCCAGGCUGAUAAACCAACAGCCAAUGAGACCAGCUUCUUGGGAUGUUCAACCAAGAUGACACACAUUGAGGACCAUGAGCCGUUUGAACCAGCACCUGAGGUCACUGCGAGCAGUCAGCAGCAGAACCCGCCUGAGGACAAUGGCCAGCUUGAAGAUCCUCAUGUAACACAUGGCAAUCAGAAGGCACCCUGUGAUUUUGCACCUGCCAGAGCUGCUACAUCAAGUCAUGUGACUUAUGACAACCCCGGGUGUCUUCAAG
ensembl:lncRNA